rnacentral:SRP_RNA from 1 species
GCCGGGCGCUGUGGCGCGCGCCUGUAAUCCCAGCUACUUGGGAGGCUGAGGCUGGAGGAUCGCUUGAGCUCAGGAGUUCUGGGCUGCAGUGCGCUAUGCCGAUCGGGUGUCCGCACUAAGUUCGGCAUCAAUAUGGUGACCUCCCGGAAGCGGGGGACCACCAGGUUGCCUAAGGAGGGGUGAACCGACCCAGGUCGGAAACGGAGCAGGUCAAAACUCCCGUGCUGAUCAGUAGUGGGAUCGCGCCUGUGAGUAGUCACUGUACUCCAGCCUGGGCAAUAUAGCGAGACCCUGUCUCUUAAAAAAAGAAAAAAAAAAAA